GAUGAACGCUGGCGGCGUGCUUAACACAUGCAAGUCGAACGGCAAGGCCCAAGCUUGCUUGGGUACUCGAGUGGCGAACGGGUGCGUAACACGUGGGUGAUCUGCCCCGCACUUCGGGAUAAGCCUGGGAAACUGGGUCUAAUACCGGAUAGGACCACUUCUUGGAGGUUGUGGUGGAAAGUUUUUUUGGUGUGGGCUGGGCUCGCGGCCUAUCAGCUUGUUGGUGGGGGAAUGGCCUACCAAGGCGUCGGCGGGUAACCGGCCUGGGAGGGGGGACGGGCACCAUGGGCCUGCGGGACGGACCAGUGUCCUACGGGGGGCAGAGGUGGGGAAUCUUGUCCAAUGGGACCGAGCCUGUUGAGACGGCCUUGGGGGGGGGAUGACGGCCUUCGGGUUGUAAACUCCUGUCGCUAGGGACGAAGCGCAAGUGACGGUACCUAGAGAAGAAGCACCGGCUAACUACGUG
rnacentral:rRNA from 1 species